rnacentral:rRNA from 1 species
AUUGAACGCUGGCGGCAGGCCUAACACAUGCAAGUUGAACGUUUGGCGGACGGGUGAGUAAUCUCUUGGAAACUGCCUGAUGGGUGGGGAUAACUCUUGGAAACGGUAGCUAACACCGCAUACUAUCAGAUGUGCACAGCUGGGCUUAGCUUGUUGGUGGGGUAACGGCGAACCAAGGCGACGAUCCCGAGCUGGUCCUAGAGGAUGACCAUCCACGCCGGAACGGUGACACGGUCCAGACUCCUCCGGACGUCAGCGGUGGGGAGUAUUGCACAAUGGGCGCAAGCCUGAUGCCGCCCUGCGGCAAGUAUAAGGAAGGCCUUCGGGUUGUAAAUUACUUUCAGCGGGAAGGCGUCACCCGCAGAGGAAGGCGCGGCUAACUCCGUGCCAGCCGCCGCGGUAAUAC